ensembl:snoRNA LOC120095769 small nucleolar RNA SNORA17
ACCUAGAGGCAUUGCAGAUUGUGUCAUAUGUGCAUCAGUAGGCAGAAGCGAGGACAGAGGCUAGGUUCAAUGUUCUGACCUGUGAACAGCUGAAUGAUUAGUACACUAUUACU